rnacentral:rRNA from 1 species
GUGGCAGACGGGUGAGUAACAUGUAGGUAUCUGCCCUUUGGCCUGGAAUAACACGAGGAAACUUGUGCUAAUACCGGAUAAGUCUUUACGGAGAAAGCUUUAUGCACCAUUGGAUGAGCCUGCACUUGAUUAGUUUGUUGGUGGGGUAAUGGCCUACCAAGACUGUGAUCAAUAGCUGAUUUGAGAGGAUGAUCAGCCACAUUGGGACUGAGACACGGCCCAAACUCCUACGGGAGGCAGCAGUGGGGAAUCUUGCACAAUGGAGGAAACUCUGAUGCAGCGAUGCCGCGUGAGUGAAGAAGGCCUUUGGGUUGUAAAGCUCUUUCGUCGGGGAAGAAAAUGACUGUACCCGAAUAAGAAGGUCCGGCUAACUUCGUGCCAGCAGCCGCGGUAAUACGAAGGGACCUAGCGUAGUUCGGAAUUACUGGGCUUAAAGAGUUCGUAGGUGGUUGAAAAAGUUGGUGGUGAAAUCCCAGAGCUUAACUCUGGAACUGCCAUCAAAACUUUUCAGCUAGAGUAUGAUAGAGGAAAGCAGAAUUUCUAGUGUAGAGGUGAAAUUCGUAGAUAUUAGAAAGAAUACCAAUUGCGAAGGCAGCUUUCUGGAUCAUUACUGACACUGAGGAACGAAAGCAUGGGUAGCGAAGAGGAUU